GCGGGAAAUCUUACCGGGUCCGGACACACUGAGGAUUGACAGGUAACAUCUCACAUAUCCCUCUCGGCGGAUUGUGGGAUAUAAAUAUGCUAGUCCUUUCAUGAUUAUGUGAUAGGUGGUGCAUGGCCGUUCUUAGUUCGUGGAGAGAUCUGUCUGCUUAAUUGCGUUUCACUAUUGGAUCUAUAUACCGUGCAUGUGUUGCGGCAUUGACCCCAUUGAUUUCACUAUCAUGUGCGCGUCUUUCGCUUAGCUCACUGCGCUUUAGAUCCUGAAAGCAACGAACGUGACCGCACCUCUUGUUGCUUUCAUACCCAAUGCGCGAUAUAUACUCGUAUAUUUCACGCAUAAAAAGCUUAUACAUGUAUUGCUACGGCAUUACAUCACAAACUAGAGGGACCGCUGUUACUUUCUUAAACCAGAGGAAGGUUGCGGCAAUAACAGGUC
rnacentral:rRNA from 1 species